AUGGUGGUUGUGCUUUCUGCUGUGUUGACUGACAGAUUAUUUUCAGUAGUUAGAUGCUUGUUUUCAGUGCAGGAGGUUUUUGUACGGCCACUCAAUGAGUUUGUAUCACUGUGGUGGACUUUUGGUGGAGGAACCAAACUCAUCAUUGACUUGGGUGUGGUGCGCCCCACCCUGACCGUCCUCCCCCCCUCCACACAGGAGGUGCAGCAGAGCAGUGCCACACUGGUGUGUCUGGCCAGCGGGGGCUUCCCCUCAGCCUGGAGGCUGGGCUGGAAGGUGGGGGGCAGCAGCAGGUCCUCAGGGGUGUCACACAGCCUGGAGGUCCUGGGGAGGGACGGCCACUACAGCUGGAGCAGCACCCUGAGCCUCCCUGCAGACCAGUGGAGGAAGGCGGGCUCAGUGAGCUGUGAGGCCAGUCUGGAUGGACACAGUCCUGUCAGUCAAAGCCUGGACCCUGAGAGCUGCUCAGAGUAGAGCUUCAGCAACAGCUGCUGUGUGGAGAUGAUGCUUGUGAGAUCUUCAUCAAGCUGCACAUCUCCUCUCUUCUCACAUUUCUGCCAGUUCAUUGCAACUUUUAUGUUAAUUCAGUGAUGUGAAACUAAUCUUACUCAUGUUCUGCUUAAUAUAUUAUUGUAAAAAUGCCCAAAUUUCAACUUGAGCAUCAAAUAAAAGUGCA